rnacentral:rRNA from 1 species
AUUGAACGCUGGCGGCAGGCUUAACACAUGCAAGUCGAGCGGAGAGAGGUAGCUUGCUACUGAUCUUAGCGGCGGACGGGUGAGUAAUGCUUAGGAAUCUGCCUAUUAGUGGGGGACAACAUUUCGAAAGGAAUGCUAAUACCGCAUACGUCCUACGGGAGAAAGCAGGGGAUCUUCGGACCUUGCGCUAAUAGAUGAGCCUAAGUCGGAUUAGCUAGUUGGUGGGGUAAAGGCCUACCAAGGCGACGAUCUGUAGCGGGUCUGAGAGGAUGAUCCGCCACACUGGGACUGAGACACGGCCCAGACUUCUACGGGAGGCAGCAGUGGGGAAUAUUGGACAAUGGGCGCAAGCCUGAUCCAGCCAUGCCGCGUGUGUGAAGAAGGCCUUAUGGUUGUAAAGCACUUUAAGCGAGGAGGAGGCUACUUUAGAUAAUACCUAGAGAUAGUGGACGUUACUCGCAGAGUAAGCACCGGCUAACUCUGUGCCAGCCGCCGCCGUAAAAC